UACAGAGGUCUCAAGCGUUGUUCGGAUUCAUUGGGCGUAAAGGGUGUGUAGGUGGCGCGCUAAGUCGGGUGUGAAAUUUCGGAGCUUAACUCCGAAACUGCAUUCGAUACUGGCGUGCUUGAGGACUGGAGAGGAGACUGGAAUUCCUGGUGUAGCGGUAGGAAUGCGCAGAUAUCAGGAGGAACACCGAUGGCGAAAGGCAGGUCACUGGGC
rnacentral:rRNA from 1 species